AUAGACCCGUAGCAAAUAGCUCCGUAACACGUGGUCAAUUCUACCCUCUGGACCGGAAUACCCUCGGGAAACUGAGGCUAAUUCCGGAUACUGCUUUCAUGUUGGAACACAGAAAGUCGGAAACGGUCCGCCGCCGGAGGACGUGACUGCGGCCGAUUAGGUAGACGGUGGGGUAACGGCCCACCGUGCCGAUAAUCGGUACGGGUUGUGAGAGCAAGAACCCGGAGACGGUAUCUGAGACAAGAUACCGGGCCCUACGGGGCGCAGCAGGCGCGAAACCUUUACACUGCACGCCAGUGCGAUAAGGGGACCCCGAGUGCGAGGGCAUACAGUCCUCGCUUUUCGUGACCGUAAGAAGGUCUCAGAAUAAC
rnacentral:rRNA from 1 species